AACGAACGCUGGCGGCAGGCCUAACACAUGCAAGUCGAACGCAUCCUUCGGGGUGAGUGGCAGACGGGUGAGUAACGCGUGGGAACGUGCCCUUCAGUUCGGGAUAACCCAGGGAAACUUGGGCUAAUACCGGAUACGUGCGAGAGCAGAAAGAUUUAUCGCUGAAGGAUCGGACCGCGUCGGAUUAGCUAGUUGGUGGGGUAAUGGCCCACCAAGGCGACGAUCAGUAGCUGGUCUGAGAGGAUGAUCAGCCACAUUGGGACUGGAGACACGGCCCAAACUCCUACGGGAGGCAGCAGUGGGGAAUACUGGACAAUGGGCGCAAGCCUGAUCCAGCCAUGCCGCGUGAGUGAUGAAGGCCUUAGGGUUGUAAAGCUCUUUCGUCCGGGACGAUAAUGACGGUACCGGAAGAAGAAGCCCCGGCUAACUUCGUGCCAGCCGCCGCCGUAA
rnacentral:rRNA from 1 species